rnacentral:rRNA from 1 species
GACAGAGGAUGCAAGCGUUAUCCGGAAUGAUUGGGCGUAAAGCGUCUGUAGGUGGCUUUUUAAGUCCGCCGUCAAAUCCCAGGGCUCAACCCUGGACAGGCGGUGGAAACUACCAAGCUGGAGUACGGUAAGGGGCAGAGGGAAUUUCCGGUGGAGCGGUGAAAGUGCGUAGAGAUCGGAAAGAACACAACGGCGAAAGCACUCUGCUGGGCCGACACUGACACUGAGAGACUAAAGCUAGGGGAGCGAAUGGG